rnacentral:rRNA from 1 species
GUGGGGAAUAUUGGACAAUGGGCGCAAGCCUGAUCCAGCCAUGCCGCGUGAGUGAUGAAGGCCCUAGGGUUGUAAAGCUCUUUCACCGGUGAAGAUAAUGACGGUAACCGGAGAAGAAGCCCCGGCUAACUUCGUGCCAGCAGCCGCGGUAAUACGCAGGGGGCUAGCGUUGUUCGGAAUUACUGGGCGUAAAGCGCACGUAGGCGGACAUUUAAGUCAGGGGUGACAUCCCGGGGCCCAACCCCGGAACUGCCUUUGAUACUGGGUGUCUGGAGUAUGGACGAGGUAAGUGGAAUGCCGAGUGUAGAGGUGAAAUUCGUAGAUAUUCGGAGGAACACCAGUGGCGAAGGCGACUCACUGGCCCGAUACUGACGCUGAGGCGCGAAAGCGUGGGGAGCAAACAGGAUUAGAUACCCUAGUAGUCC